rnacentral:rRNA from 1 species
GCAGUCGAGCGGAGAGAGGUAGCUUGCUACUGAUCUUAGCGGCGGACGGGUGAGUAAUGCUUAGGAAUCUGCCUAUUAGUGGGGGACAACAUUUCGAAAGGAAUGCUAAUACCGCAUACGUCCUACGGGAGAAAGCAGGGGAUCUUCGGACCUUGCGCUAAUAGAUGAGCCUAAGUCGGAUUAGCUAGUUGGUGGGGUAAAGGCCUACCAAGGCGACGAUCUGUAGCGGGUCUGAGAGGAUGAUCCGCCACACUGGGACUGAGACACGGCCCAGACUCCUACGGGAGGCAGCAGUGGGGAAUAUUGGACAAUGGGCGCAAGCCUGAUCCAGCCAUGCCGCGUGUGUGAAGAAGGCCUUAUGGUUGUAAAGCACUUUAAGCGAGGAGGAGGCUACUUUAGUUAAUACCUAGAGAUAGUGGACGUUACUCGCAGAAUAAGCACCGGCUAACUCUGUGCCAGCAGCCGCGGUAAUACAGAGGGUGGCAGCGUUAAUCGGAUUUACUGGGCGUAAAGCGCGCGUANGCGGCUAAUUAAGUCAAAUGUGAAAUCCCCGAGCUUAACUUGGGAAUUGCAUUCGAUACUGGUUAGCUAGAG